rnacentral:rRNA from 1 species
AGAAUCAACGCUGGCGGCGCGCUUAACACAUGCAAGUCGCACGAGAAAGGGGAGCAAUCCCUGAGUAAAGUGGCGCACGGGUGAGUAACACGUGGGUCAUCCACACUUCAGUGGGGAAUAACCCUGGGAAACCGGGGCUAAUACCGCAUACGCCUGAGAAGGGAAAGCAGCAAUGCGCUGGAGAAGGAGCCCGCGGCCGAUUAGCUAGUUGGUGGGGUAACGGCUCACCAAGGCGACGAUCGGUAGCCGGCCUGAGAGGGCACACGGCCACACUGGCACUGAAACACGGGCCAGACUCCUACGGGAGGCAGCAGUGGGGAAUCUUGCACAAUGGAGGAAACUCUGAUGCAGCGACGCCGCGUGAGCGAUGAAGCCCUUCGGGGUGUAAAGCUCUUUCGACGGGAACGAUAAUGACGGUACCCGGAGAAGAAGCUGCGGCUACUACGUGCCAGCAGCCGC